AGUGAACGCUGGCGGUAGGCCUAACACAUGCAAGUCGAACGGCAGCACAGUAAGAGCUUGCGCUUACGGGUGGCGAGUGGCGGACGGGUGAGGAAUACAUCGGAAUCUACUUUUUCGUGGGGGAGAACGUAGGGAAACUUACGCCAAUACCGCAUACGACCUACGGGUGAAAGCAGGGGAUCUUCGGACCUUGCGCGAUUGAAUGAGCCGAUGUCGGAUUAGCUAGUUGGCGGGGUAAAGGCCCACCAAGGCGACGAUCCGUAGCUGGUCUGAGAGGAUGAUCAGCCACACUGGAACUGAGACACGGUCCAGACUCCUACGGGAGGCAGCAGUGGGGAAUAUUGGACAAUGGGCGCAAGCCUGAUCCAGCCAUACCGCGUGGGUGAAGAAGGCCUUCGGGUUGUAAAGCCCUUUUGUUGGGAAAGAAAAGCAGCAGGUUAAUACCCCGCUGUUCUGACGGUACCCAAAGAAUAAGCACCGGCUAACUUCGUG
rnacentral:rRNA from 1 species